UGUUGAAAAAGGCAAACUCGUCGAAAGGCGGGGACGCAAAGCCACGGGUCUAAAGCGAUAGUUUUGCUAUGAUAGCCGGGCUGCCAAC
rfam:Thermoanaerobacter sp. X514, complete genome.